GGGAGCAGUAUCUUGGCUUGGAACAUUCUGAUAAUGCCCCUAAAAGGAUUAACGCAGCAUAUCAGAAUCGUCCGACGUACGAGAAGCCUGUUAAAAUUUACAACUAGUAACGCUGCUGAAAAUGAAGAUUGUGAGAUGGUUCAAUUCUAUGAUUGACCAUUGCAUUUGUCCCUGAAGUUAAGAAGCCAGUUCGAGUCUGUACAGGGUUUUAUGAUUUUUGUUACUGAAGCAUCUUGUAUUCUGAUAUGGAUGUGAAGUUUGAUCCUAAUGCAGCAUCCAUAUCUCAGUACUUGAACUCAAGUGAUGCGUAAAUGGCCCAUCGAUAACUCUCUCUCUGUUCAAGUGUAAGUUAAGCGAGCCAUACAUUGGCAAAGAAUUUUGAACAAAUGAAUGAAUACAUAAUAUAUUGUGCUUGAUUCAGUUCUGACUUUUAUCUGAGGAGAAGAGUACUACUCAGUUUUCUGCCAUUUUUGGGCUCUAUAGAUGUGAUUUUUUCUGGUAGAGAUUUUGAGGUUUUUCCCUCUGAAAUUGUGUAACCUUAAGUUUGGUAAUUUCUUGCUAUUGUAAUU
rnacentral:misc_RNA from 1 species